GUAGGUGGCAAGCGUUGUCCGGAAUUAUUGGGCGUAAAGCGCGCGCAGGCGGUUCUUUAAGUCUGAUGUGAAAGCCCACGGCUCAACCGUGGAGGGUCAUUGGAAACUGGAGAACUUGAGUACAGAAGAGGAAAGCGGAAUCCACGUGUAGCGGUGAAAUGCGUAGAGAUGUGGAGGAACACCAGUGGCGAAGGCGGCUUUCUGGUCUGUAACUGACGCUGAGGCGCGAAAGCGUGGGGGAGCAAACAGGGAUUAGAUACCCUGGUAGUCCACGCCGUAAACGAUGAGUGCUAAGUGUUAGGGGGGGUUUUCCGCCCCCCUUAGUGCUGCAGCUAACGCAUUAAGCACUCCGCCUGGGGAGUACGGCCGCAAGGCUG
rnacentral:rRNA from 1 species